rnacentral:rRNA from 1 species
CACGUAUUGCCUAGUACGGCGAGUGAAGCGGCAACAGCUCAAAUUUGAAAGCUAGCCUUCGGGUUCGCAUUGUAAUUUGUAGAGGAUGAUUUGGGGAAGCCGCCUGUCUAAGUUCCUUGGAACAGGACGUCAUAGAGGGUGAGAAUCCCGUAUGUGACAGGAAAUGGCACCCUAUGUAAAUCUCCUUCGACGAGUCGAGUUGUUUGGGAAUGCAGCUCUAAAUGGGAGGUAAAUUUCUUCUAAAGCUAAAUAUUGGCGAGAGACCGAUAGCGCACAAGUAGAGUGAUCGAAAGAUGAAAAGCACUUUGGAAAGAGAGUUAAAAAGCACGUGAAAUUGUUGAAAGGGAAGCGCUUGCAAUCAGACUUGUUUAAACUGUUCGGCCGGUCUUCUGACCGGUUUACUCAGUUUGGACAGGCCAGCAUCAGUUUCGGCGGCCGGAUAAAGGCUCUGGGAAUGUGGCCUCCACUUCGGUGGAGGUGUUAUAGCCCAGGGUGUAAUACGGCCAGCCGGGACUGAGGUCCGCGCUUCGGCUAGGAUGCUGGCGUAAUGGUUGUAAGCGACCCGUCUUGA